UAUGAAUUUCUAAAACGCAAUUA
rnacentral:snRNA from 1 species